UACGGAGGGUGCAAGCGUUAUCCGGAUUCACUGGUUAAGGUGCGUAGGAGGGCAGGUAAGUCAGUGGUGAAAUCUCCGAGCUUAACUUGGAACUGCCGUUGAUACUAUCUGUCUUGAAUAUUGUGGAGGUGAGCGGAAUAUGUCAUGUAGCGGUGAAAUGCUUAGAUAUGACAUAGAACACCAAUUGCGAAGGCAGCUCGCUACACAUAUAUUGACUCUGAGGCACGAAAGCGUGGGGAGUCAAACAGGAAUUAAGA
rnacentral:rRNA from 1 species